rnacentral:rRNA from 1 species
CCUACGGGAGGCAGCAGUAGGGAAUCUUCCACAAUGGGCGAAAGCCUGAUGGAGCAACGCCGCGUGGGUGAAGAAGGUCUUCGGAUCGUAAAACCCUGUUGUUAGAGAAGAAAGUGCGGGAGAGUAACUGUUCACGUUUCGACGGUAUCUAACCAGAAAGCCACGGCUAACUACGUGCCAGCAGCCGCGGUAAUACUUAGGUGGCAAGCGUUAUCCGGAUUUAUGGGGCGUAAAGGGAACGCAGGCGGUCUUUUAAGUCUGAUGUGAAAGCCUUCGGCUUAACCGGAGUAGUGCAUUGGAAACUGGGAGACUUGAGUGCAGAAGAGGAGAGUGGAAGUCCAUGUGUAGCGGUGAAAUGCGUAGAUAUAUGGAAGAACACCAGUGGCGAAAGCGGCUCUCUGGUCUGUAACUGACGCUGAGGUUCGAAAGCGUGGGUAGCAAACAGGAUUAGAUACCCGGGUAGUC